rnacentral:rRNA from 1 species
GAGUUUGAUCGUGGCUCAGAUUGAACGCUGGCGGCAUGCCUUACACAUGCAAGUCGAACGGCAGCAUGAUCUAGCUUGCUAGAUUGAUGGCGAGUGGCGAACGGGUGAGUAAUACAUCGGAACGUGGCCCUGUAGUGGGGGAUAACUAGUCGAAAGAUUAGCUAAUACCGCAUACGACCUGAGGGUGAAAGUGGGGGACCGCAAGGCCUCAUGCUAUAGGAGCGGCCGAUGUCUGAUUAGCUAGUUGGUGGGGUAAAGGCCCACCAAGGCGACGACCAGUAGCUGGUCUGAGAGGACGAUCAGCCACACUGGGACUGAGACACGGCCCAGACUCCUACGGGAGGCAGCAGUGGGGAAUUUUGGACAAUGGGCGAAAGCCUGAUCCAGCAAUGCCGCGUGUGUGAAGAAGGCCU